ensembl:snoRNA SNORA11G small nucleolar RNA, H/ACA box 11G
GGAGUGUGAUCAGAGCAGGGUGCCUGAAGAAUGGCUUCUCUGUUUACAACACAUCCAACAGGAACUUGGGUUGACUCCUCAGAGGUGGCAGAACACUAUGACCUUCCUGUGACAUUAUGCCCUAUACAU